GCUCGAUGAGUAGGGCGGGACACGUGGUAUCCUGUCUGAAUAUGGGGGGACCAUCCUCCAAGGCUAAAUACUCCUGACUGACCGAUAGUGAACCAGUACCGUGAGGGAAAGGCGAAAAGAACCCCGGCGAGGGGAGUGAAAAAGAACCUGAAACCGUGUACGUACAAGCAGUGGGAGCCUCUUAAUGGGGUGACUGCGUACCUUUUGUAUAAUGGGUCAGCGACUUAUAUUCUGUAGCAAGGUUAACCGAAUAGGGGAGCCGAAGGGAAACCGAGUCUUAACUGGGCGUUAAGUUGCAGGGUAUAGACCCGAAACCCGGUGAUCUAGCCAUGGGCAGGUUGAAGGUUGGGUAACACUAACUGGAGGACCGAACCGACUAAUGUUGAAAAAUUAGCGGAUGACUUGUGGCUGGGGGUGAAAGGCCAAUCAAACCGGGAGAUAGCUGGUUCUCCCCGAAAGCUAUUUAGGUAGCGCCUCGUGAAUUCAUCUCCGGGGGUAGAGCACUGUUUCGGCAAGGGGGUCAUCCCGACUUACCAACCCGAUGCAAACUGCGAAUACCGGAGAAUGUUAUCACGGGAGACACACGGCGGGUGCUAACGUCCGUCGUGAAGAGGGAAACAACCCAGACCGCCAGCUAAGGUCCCAAAGUCAUGGUUAAGUGGGAAACGAUGUGGGAAGGCCCAGACAGCCAGGAUGUUGGCUUAGAAGCAGCCAUCAUUUAAAGAAAGCGUAAUAGCUCACUGGUCGAGUCGGCCUGCGCGGAAGAUGUAACGGGGCUAAACCAUGCACCGAAGCUGCGGCAGCGACACUAUGUGUUGUUGGGUAGGGGAGCGUUCUGUAAGCCUGUGAAGGUGGCCUGUGAGGGUUGCUGGAGGUAUCAGAAGUGCGAAUGCUGACAUAAGUAACGAUAAAGCGGGUGAAAAGCCCGCUCGCCGGAAGACCAAGGGUUCCUGUCCAACGUUAAUCGGGGCAGGGUGAGUCGACCCCUAAGGCGAGGCCGAAAGGCGUAGUCGAUGGGAAACAGGUUAAUAUUCCUGUACUUGGUGUUACUGCGAAGGGGGGACGGAGAAGGCUAUGUUGGCCGGGCGACGGUUGUCCCGGUUUAAGCGUGUAGGCUGGUUUUCCAGGCAAAUCCGGAAAACCAAGGCUGAGGCGUGAUGACGAGGCACUACGGUGCUGAAGCGACAAAUGCCCUGCUUCCAGGAAAAGCCUCUAAGCAUCAGGUAACAUCAAAUCGUACCCCAAACCGACACAGGUGGUCAGGUAGAGAAUACCAAGGCGCUUGAGAGAACUCGGGUGAAGGAACUAGGCAAAAUGGUGCCGUAACUUCGGGAGAAGGCACGCUGAUAUGUAGGUGAAGCGACUUGCUCGUGGAGCUGAAAUCAGUCGAAGAUACCAGCUGGCUGCAACUGUUUAUUAAAAACACAGCACUGUGCAAACACGAAAGUGGACGUAUACGGUGUGACGCCUGCCCGGUGCCGGAAGGUUAAUUGAUGGGGUUAGCGGUAACGCGAAGCUCUUGAUCGAAGCCCCGGUAAACGGCGGCCGUAACUAUAACGGUCCUAAGGUAGCGAAAUUCCUUGUCGGGUAAGUUCCGACCUGCACGAAUGGCGUAAUGAUGGCCAGGCUGUCUCCACCCGAGACUCAGUGAAAUUGAACUCGCUGUGAAGAUGCAGUGUACCCGCGGCAAGACGGAAAGACCCCGUGAACCUUUACUAUAGCUUGACACUGAACAUUGAGCCUUGAUGUGUAGGAUAGGUGGGAGGCUUUGAAGUGUGGACGCCAGUCUGCAUGGAGCCGACCUUGAAAUACCACCCUUUAAUGUUUGAUGUUCUAACGUGGGCCCCUAAUCGGGGUUGCGGACAGUGUCUGGUGGGUAGUUUGACUGGGGCGGUCUCCUCCUAAAGAGUAACGGAGGAGCACGAAGGUUGGCUAAUCCUGGUCGGACAUCAGGAGGUUAGUGCAAUGGCAUAAGCCAGCUUGACUGCGAGCGUGACGGCGCGAGCAGGUGCGAAAGCAGGUCAUAGUGAUCCGGUGGUUCUGAAUGGAAGGGCCAUCGCUCAACGGAUAAAAGGUACUCCGGGGAUAACAGGCUGAUACCGCCCAAGAGUUCAUAUCGACGGCGGUGUUUGGCACCUCGAUGUCGGCUCAUCACAUCCUGGGGCUGAAGUAGGUCCCAAGGGUAUGGCUGUUCGCCAUUUAAAGUGGUACGCGAGCUGGGUUUAGAACGUCGUGAGACAGUUCGGUCCCUAUCUGCCGUGGGCGCUGGAGAACUGAGGGGGGCUGCUCCUAGUACGAGAGGACCGGAGUGGACGCAUCACUGGUGUUCGGGUUGUCAUGCCAAUGGCACUGCCCGGUAGCUAAAUGCGGAAGAGAUAAGUGCUGAAAGCAUCUAAGCACGAAACUUGCCCCGAGAUGAGUUCUCCCUGAGACUUAGAGUCUCCUGAAGGAACGUUGAAGACGACGACGUUGAUAGGCCGGGUGUGUAAGCGCAGCGAUGCGUUGAGCUAACCGGUACUAAUGAACCGUGAGGCUUAACCUUACAACGCCGAAG
rnacentral:rRNA from 1 species